CAAGCGAAGGUCCUAAAACUGCAUUUGUCUUUGUUGGAUGACACAAAGAUUCAACUGAUUAUUUAGAAGAGGAUGGCCUUCCACAAAAAGAUUAUGUUAGCAAAGGAAACCUUGACUGAUGAUGCGUAUAGCACACAUAUAGGAACUAAUGACACCAUUAUAUUCAUAAUCAAGUUAUAGGUGAUGUGGAUAGAAACAGAAAUGAAUUUGACUCUUGUAUUAUGGAUGAAAAAAGAAUCUACUGAGCAAUGAAUGAUAUAGACCUGAUUAUAGAAUUCGUAAAACAAGUGAAAGCAUGACGUUUUCAAUGCCGGGAGCUUCUUUGAUGUGCCCUUUGAGACUGAUUUGCCCAAGCUAGGCUGCAACAGUCAGGUUUUACCGUGGAACCAGAGGCUCUAUCACCCCAGCUGCUACUAAGUAUAGUAAGCAGACUGAUAUGUGGCUGAGGAAGCAAACUUGAAGUGUCAGCCCAAUUACAUCCUAAUGGAAUAAAAAUGAGCUAAGAGGGAACAGGAGUGAGAAACAAAAGGACAUUAAA